GACGAACGCUGGCGGCGUGCUUAACACAUGCAAGUCGAACGGAAAGGCCCUGCUUUUGUGGGGUGCUCGAGUGGCGAACGGGUGAGUAACACGUGAGUAACCUGCCCUUGACUUUGGGAUAACUUCAGGAAACUGGGGCUAAUACCGGAUAGGAUCUCCUGCUGCAUGGUGGUGGUUGGAAAGUUUCGGCGGUUGGGGAUGGACUCGCGGCUUAUCAGCUUGUUGGUGGGGUAGUGGCUUACCAAGGCUUUGACGGGUAGCCGGCCUGAGAGGGUGACCGGCCACAUUGGGACUGAGAUACGGCCCAGACUCAUACGGGAGGCAGCAGUGGGGAAUAUUGCACAAUGGGCGGAAGCAUGAUGCAGCAACGCCGCGUGCGGGAUGACGGCCUUCGGGUUGUAACCCGCUUUCGCCUGUGACGAAGCGUGAGUGACGGUAAUGGGUAAAGAAGCACCGGCUAACUACGU
rnacentral:rRNA from 1 species